AAAUUGAAGAGUUUGAUCAUGGCUCAGAUUGAACGCUGGCGGCAGGCCUAACACAUGCAAGUCGAACGGUAACAGGAAGCAGCUUGCUGCUUUGCUGACGAGUGGCGGACGGGUGAGUAAUGUCUGGGAAACUGCCUGAUGGAGGGGGAUAACUACUGGAAACGGUGGCUAAUACCGCAUAACGUCGCAAGACCAAAGAGGGGGACCUUCGGGCCUCUUGCCAUCAGAUGUGCCCAGAUGGGAUUAGCUUGUUGGUGAGGUAACGGCUCACCAAGGCGACGAUCCCUAGCUGGUCUGAGAGGAUGACCAGCCACACUGGAACUGAGACACGGUCCAGACUCCUACGGGAGGCAGCAGUGGGGAAUAUUGCACAAUGGGCGCAAGCCUGAUGCAGCCAUGCCGCGUGUAUG
rnacentral:rRNA from 2 species